rnacentral:misc_RNA from 1 species
GAUGAAGAACGUAGCGAAAUGCGAAAAGUAAUGUGAAUUGCAGAAUUCAGUGAAUCAUCGAAUCUUUGAACGCACAUUGCGCCCGCUGGUACUCCGGCGGGCACGCCUGUCCGAGCGUCAUUUCAACCCUCAAGCCCUCCUUCGGGAUGGGCCUGGUGUUGGGGCUCGGCCGCCAUCUCCGGCGGCCGUCCCCUAAAUACAGUGGCGGUCACGUCGCGACUCCUUAGCGUAGUAGAAACACCUCGCUCCGGAUAGCAACGCGGUCCACGCCGUAAAACCACCAAUUUUCAAUGGUUGACCUCGGAUCAGGUGGGAAUACCCGCUGAACUUAAGCAUAUCAAUAAGCGGAGGA